UACGAAGGGGACUAGCGUUGUUCGGAAUUACUGGGCGUAAAGCGCGCGUAGGCGGAUCGCUAAGUCAGGGGUGAAAUCCCAGGGCUCAACCUGGAACUGCCUUUGAUACUGACGAUCUGGAGAUCGGGAGAGGUUGGUGGAAUUCCGAGUGUAGAGGUGAAAUUCGUAGAUAUUCGGAGGAACACCAGAAGCGAAGGCGGCCAACUGGCCCGAUACUGACGCUGAGGCGCGAAAGCGUGGGGAGCAAACAGG
rnacentral:rRNA from 1 species